GGAGGUGUGACAGUCGGCGAUGAUGGUGGGAGCCAAGGACAGGAGUGCUGCAACUCAGGGGAAAACAAGUCAGCGCUGUCGCGGUGCUCGUGCCCGCGUUUGCAGGGAGGCCCCUCCUUUCCAGCCCCAGCUAACCUAGACAUUUCUCGCCACAAGCUUUGCUAGAGCCUCUCUUCAGGGCUUGCUUCCCCCAGCAGUGCGGCGGACUGGAGGAGUUGUAGUCCGCUCUCUGCUGCAAAAAAAAAAAAAAAAAAAAAAAAAAAAAAAAAAAAAUCCAGACAGCGCUUAGUCCUUUUAGAUCCCGCUUCCUUCUCACGGUCUCGCCCGCACCUUCCCCAUCCCGGGUUCCAGUUUAGCCUUGGCUGAUGACUCGCUCGCCUUGGCAUGUCCUUCCUCUAAUGUCACAUCUAUAAAGCCUCACCCUAAAGCCCCGGAACAACGAAUUCCUCUUUUACCCACAUGCUUCUGUUUAGCGCACCUUGGAUUUUAUUCGUUUAACAACCUAGUUCUCUGCCUGGUUUUAACACUACUGAUAAAUGUGAGUUGUCUAAUAAAAUUAUAAAAUGAUGAUAGACUUGUUAAAAAGCUGAAAUGUUGACUUAGUCUGGGCGUAUGAUGGAUGUCUGUGUUUUAUUUGAAUGGUGGAAUGGAUGGAUCAUCGAGUUCAACUCAUCUUUUAUAGAUAAGGGGAAUGGAGAUCCACAGGAUUAGGUGACCUUGCUUGGACAGCCAUGGAUUUCCCCUGUCAAAUGCUACUCAUUACUACUGUCACCUCUGUCCCUACAACAAAAGCCAGAACAGAGUAUUCAUUGGGCAUGCCUUUCUUUGCAGAGAUUACUAAACAGGAAUUGUAAAUUAACU
rnacentral:lncRNA from 1 species